AUGCAAAUGAGCCGUCUUUAUUUACACAGGCGCGUGCGAGGGCGCGUGAGCCGCCCCGUCGCCCGCAUCUCCAACCAUCCGCUCGCAGCCGGAGCCGGCGGUGACCCCGGGGGGUCCACGCGUCCCUCUGCGGGACACGUGGGCGAGGAUGAGGAGGAUGGAGACGCUCGCGAGGAAGGUGCCUCCGAAGCCCAGCAGGAGGCCGUGCAGCAGCGGCAGAACCACGUCCAUGGGCCCCUUCUGGUACGGGGGCACGGGGGCCCGCUCCACAAUCAGGUCCAGGUCCCGCCAGUGGACAUCAAGCAUCAGGAACCAGCAGUGAAGGUCCAUAUAAAGUUCUGUGGAGCCCCAGAGCUUUUUCCCGGACCGGGUGCGACAGGGAACAGCAGCUUCAGCCUCCGAGACGUUGAUUGCAUUGUGUGCAUCAUCGUAGACUAGGGCGGCUCUGCCAGCGCUGACGUGUGUCUCUCCAGCAGGGAGAAGCGGGUUUAAUGACAUCAUUGUGUGGGCUACAGCAAGGGCAUGUUUUAAAUUGUUAAUAAGCUUCAUUUGCCAAACAGUAAAGGUUGUUUGUGUGGGCCCGAGUCUCAAAUUCUCCAUGUUGGCUAAUGAAAAAAAAUGAUGCUUUGGGGCUGAGAUCCACAGAAACUCGGGUGUGGGUGGUAUAAUGGCGCUGUAAUGAUUCGAGAUGUUGCACAUGCAAAAAAAAAAAAAAAAAAAAAGAAAACACUGGGCACAAGGUCAGGAGAUUUAUUCACAUCACUGAGUCAUUCAGCACUGUAUGGUAUUGAUGGAAUCGCAUGCAGCAUGUUUUGCUCCACAUGUCCACAGGAAAAACACAGUACAUUACCACUUGGCACAUAAACUGCAGGAUCCUGUGAAACGACUUAACACGACAUCCGCCACGCAAAAAUGCAAUCUGAAGUAGAGAACAGCAGGAAAGCGCCGCGUUGAAUGGGACUCUGUGAAGCUGCGUUCCCAUGCCUCUUACACUUCACACCACUGAAAUCUGGUUAAGUCCUCAUACAGACUCCGGUGGAAUGAAGGAUAGAACACAUGGCAUAUUCUUGCAGAAAGCAUCUGUAAUGAAAGGGGAAAAACCUACAUUUAAAAAAAAAAAAAAAAAAAAAAAAGUGAACACAUUUGAACACACUUUUUUGAAAGAGCAGUGGCUGGAACUCGUUAAACUUCACUUUCAAGGUUUAGCUCCAGGACGGAGGCCGAGCCUGGCGCCCGGUGCCGAGCAGACAGUUGGGCCUGUGUGAUUUAUGGGAAGGCCCGCGGGUCGACGGGCGGCUCAAAGCUGUGAGGCCGACCUCUCCCUUUUCCCGAGCUAAACCCGUGCCUGUGCCGAGUCUGAGCGAGACCGGGCCUGCCCCGCGCCGUCGCCCCGGGCCUUCAGGCUCCUGUUGAAAUCCCGGACUCUGGCACGUUGUCACAAGCCUGAGCUCCACGAGCGUUUAGUCGGAGUCCGCCUCCGCCUCCGCCUCCGCCUCCGUCUCCGCCACCAGACGCCGCGCUCCUCCGUGCUAGCGACACCGACCCUGAGCCCGGUCCUCACACCUGAGUCUGACCGCUAGCAGAACCCCUCCCUCCCCUCGCAGACACCAGCUGCUUCUCUAGAUCCAAUCCUUAUAAUAAACUCACUCCACACUUUCUAGACA
ensembl:lncRNA